UGUCGGAAGUGGGAUUCGAACCCACUCCCUCAAGAGUGGACUGUGAAUUGAACGCAACACCUUAGACAGCUCGGCCGUUCUGAC